rnacentral:misc_RNA from 1 species
CAACUGCGAAAAGCACUGCGAAUUGCAGAACACCGUGAGUCAGUAGAUUUUUGAACGCAACCGGCGCCCUCUGGGCAUGUUUGCUUCAGUGCCUCCUUUGCUAACAGCUGCGAGUGCAGAGCUCUCGCUAAGUUCUCCCGUCCAGGAUCUGGCAGGUUAGAUCUGGGAUCAAAGAGUGCCUGAAGUCAAGCAAGAUUACCCGCUGAACUUAA